rnacentral:tRNA from 1 species
CUAUAGGGAGCUGUACAUUAGCAUUAGCCUUUUAAGCUAAAGAAAAUACAUAAGUAUUCCUAAAGA